rnacentral:rRNA from 1 species
GGAAUUUUGCGCAAUGGGGGAAACCCUGAUCCAGCCAUGCCGCGUGAGUGAAGAAGGCCUUAGGGUUGUAAAGCUCUUUCAGCGGGGAAGAUGAUGACGGUACCCGCAGAAGAAGCACCGGCUAACUCCGUGCCAGCAGCCGCGGUAAUACGGAGGGGGCUAGCGUUGCUCGGAAUUACUGGGCGUAAAGGGCGCGUAGGCGGAUUUUUAAGUCAUGUGUGAAAGCCCCGGGCUCAACCCGGGAAUUGCGCUUGAUACUGGAAGUCUAGAGUUCUGGAGAGGGUGGUGGAAUUCCCAGUGUAGAGGUGAAAUUCGUAGAUAUUGGGAAGAACACCGGUGGCGAAGGCGGCCACCUGGCCAGACACCGACGCUAAGGCGCGAAAGCGUGGGGAGCA